rnacentral:rRNA from 1 species
AGUUAAGAUACUAAGGGCAUACGGUGGAUGCCUUGGCGAUAUCUGCCGAAGAAGGACGCGACAAGCUGCGAAAAGCUACGGGUAGGCGCAAAUAGCCGUUGAACCGUAGAUAUCCGAAUGGAGAAAUCCGGCGGUGGUAAUGCACCGUCACCCAUACCGACCGGUAUGAGGAGGGAACUCGGUGAACUGAAACAUCUAAGUAACCGGAGGAGAAGAAAUCAAACGAGAUACCCCAAGUAGCGGCGAGCGAACGGGGAAGAAGCCUAAACCGAAUAAGGAAACUUAAUCGGGGUUGAGGACCGACAAAAUUGGAGGAAAAGUUAGCCAAAUCUCUUGGGAAAGAGAGCCGAAGACAGUGAGAGCCUGGUAGGCGAAAACAAGAACUCUAAGGACGGAAUCCAGAGUAGUGCGGGACACGAGAAAUCCCGUAUGAAGCAGGGGGGACCACCCUCCAAGGCAAAACACAGAUAUCGACCGAUAGCGCAUAGUACCAUGAGGGAAAGGUGAAAAGCACCCCGGGAGGGGAAUGAAAUAGAACCUGAAACCGUAUGUUUACAAACAGUCAGAGACCGUAUAUAAAACAGGUCGAUGGCGUGCCUAUUGAAGAAUGAACCAGCGAGUUACGAGGGCCGGCAAGGUUAAGCAGGAAAUGUGGAGCCGAAGCGAAAGCGAGUCUUAAUAGGGCGAGAAGUCGGAAAGCGUAGACCCGAAACCACAGUGAUCUACCCAUGUCCAGGUUGAAGCACAGGUAAAAAUGUGUGGAGGACCGAACCUAUAUCUGUUGAAAAAGGUUAGGAUGAGGUGUGGGUAGGGGUGAAAUUCCAAUCGAACGUGGAGAUAGCUGGUUCUCCCCGAAAUAGCUUUAGGGCUAGCCUCAAGUGGUGAUUACAGGCGGUAGAGCACUGAUCAGGAGCGGGACCUACCCGGUUACCAAACCCAGUCAAACUCCGAAUGGCUGUAAUCAAACUUGGGAGUCAGACUACGACUUAUAAGGGCCGUGGUCAAGAGGGAAACAGCCCAGAUCAUCAGCUAAGGUCCCAAAUGCCGUGCUAAGUGGCGAAGGAUGUGGCGUUUCAUAAACAACCAGGAUGUUGGCUUAGAAGCAGCCAUCAUUUAAAGAGUGCGUAAUAGCCCACUGGUCGAGAGACGCUGCGCCGAAGAUGUCCGGGGCUCAAGCACGGAACCGAAGCUAUGGCAGACGCAAGCCGUCUGGGUAGGGGAGCGUUCUUAUUGGGGAGAAGCGAUACCGGAAGGAGUCGUGGACUGAUAAGAAGUGAGAAUGCUGGUAUGAGUAUCGAAAAGAAAGGUGAGAAUCCUUUCCACCGAAAGCCCGAGGGUUCCUGAGCAACGAUCGUCGUCUCAGGGUAAGUCGGGACCUAAGCCGAGGCAAGAAGCAUAGGCGAUGGACAACAGGUUGAAAUUCCUGUACCGGAAGAGUCUGAUUGAGUGAAGGAGUGACGCAGAAGGGCACACAAGCAUGCGAGUGGAAGAGCAUGUCUAAGUGCGUAGCCUGUAUGAUAGGAAAAACCGUCAUACGAGAAGGGUGAGACAUGAAGGGGAGUUAAAGGAGACUUUAAUGAACUUGUGAAUCCCAUGCUGCCAAGAAAAGCUUCUAGCGAGGACUCGUCCGCCCGUACCGUAAACCGACACAGGUAGGCGGGGAGAGAAUCCUAAGGUGCGCGGGAAAACCCUCGUUAAGGAACUCGGCAAAUUGCAUCCGUAACUUCGGAAGAAGGAUGGCCCUUGGUAGGCGAAGAGUCAAGCACUUGGAACCGAGAAGGGUGGCAGAAAAGAGGCCCAAGCAACUGUUUACCAAAAACACAGGUGCCUGCGAAAGCGAAAGCUGAAGUAUAGGUGCUGACGCCUGCCCGGUGCUGGAAGGUUAAGGAGAGAGGUCAGCUAAGGCGAAGCUUUGAACUGAAGCCCCAGUGAACGGCGGCCGUAACUAUAACGGUCCUAAGGUAGCGAAAUUCCUUGUCGGGUAAGUUCCGACCCGCAUGAAAGGCGUAAUGAUUUGGGCACUGUCUCAACGAGGGGCCCGGUGAAAUUGAAAUACCUGUGAAGAUGCAGGUUACCCGCGACUGGACAGAAAGACCCCAUGGAGCUUUACUGCAGCUUGAGAUGGAAUCUCGGAAGUAGAUGCACAGGAUAGGUGGGAGACAAAGAAGUAUGUACUUAGGUAUGUAUGGAGUCGAUGUUGGGAUACCACCCUUCUAGUUCUGGGAUUCUAACGCCAGGAGUAACGACCCUGCGGACAAUCUCAGGUAGGCAGUUUGACUGGGGCGGUCGCCUCCGAAAGAGUAACGGAGGCGCCCAAAGGUUCCCUCAGGUCGGACAGAAACCGACCGACGAGUGCAAAGGCAGAAGGGAGCUUGACUGCGAGACCAACAAGUCGAGCAGAGACGAAAGUCGGGCUUAGUGAUCCGGUGGUACUGUGUGGAAAGGCCAUCGCUCAACGGAUAAAAGCUACCCUGGGGAUAACAGGCUAAUCUCUCCCAAGAGUUCAUAUCGACGGGGAGGUUUGGCACCUCGAUGUCGGCUCAUCACAUCCUGGGGCUGGAGUAGGUCCCAAGGGUUGGGCUGUUCGCCCAUUAAAGUGGUACGCGAGCUGGGUUCAAAACGUCGUGAGACAGUUUGGUUCAUAUCCAUCGCGGGCGUAAGAAGUUUGAGGGGGGCUGCUCCUAGUACGAGAGGACCGGAGUGGACGAAUCAAUGGUGUACCAGUUGUCACGCCAGUGGCAUGGCUGGAAAGCCACAUUCGGAAGGGAUAAACGCUGAAAGCAUCUAAGCGUGAAGCCCACCCCAAGAUGAGACUUCUCAUCAGAAAUGAGUAAGAUCCCUUAUAGACUAUGAGGUAGAUAGGCCGCAAGUGGAAGAGCAGUGAUGUUUGGAGCGAUGCGGUACUAAUAGAUCGAGGUCUUAACUUA